UACGUAGGGGGCAAGCGUUGUCCGGAAUCAUUGGGCGUAAAGAGCGUGUAGGCGGCCCGAUAAGUCCGCUGUGAAAGUCCAGGGCUCAACCCUGGAAUGCCGGUGGAUACUGUCGGGCUCGAAUCCGGAAGAGGUGAGUGGAAUUCCUGGUGUAGCGGUGAAAUGCGCAGAUAUCAGGAGGAACACCAAUGGCGAAGGCAGCUCACUGGGACGGUAUUGACGCUGAGAUGCGAAAGCGUGGGGAGCAAACAGG
rnacentral:rRNA from 1 species